GAUGAACGCUGGCGGCGUGCCUAAUACAUGCAAGUCGAGCGAAUGGAUUAAGAGCUUGCUCUUAUGAAGUUAGCGGCGGACGGGUGAGUAACACGUGGGUAACCUGCCCAUAAGACUGGGAUAACUCCGGGAAACCGGGGCCAAUACCGGAUAACAUUUUGAACGGCAUGGGUCGCAGUGGAACGGGGGCUUCGGCUGUCACUGAUGGAUGCACGCGCGUCGCAUUAGCUGGUUGGUGGGGUAACGGCUCACCAAGGCAACGAUGGGUAGCGGGCCUGAGAGGAUGAUCGGCCACACUGGGACUGAGACACGGCCCAGACUCCUACGGGAGGCAGCAGUAGGGAAUCUUCCGCAAUGGAGGAAAGUCUGACGGAGCAACGCCGCGUGAGUGAUGAAGGCUUUCGGGUCGUAAAACUCUGUUGUUAGGGAAGAACAAGUGCUAGUUGAAUAAGCUGGCACCUUGACGGUACCUAACCAGAAAGCCACGGCUAACUACGUGCCAGCAGCCGCGGUAA
rnacentral:rRNA from 1 species